GUUCUUGGGUGCAGAAAUCUGGCUUACACGGGAUCAAGGUCAUAACGAGUUAUAAAGAAGGCAUUAAACUACAAAUCUUCACAGUAAUGCUUCAGGACAGAAGGACGCCAUGUAGUCCUCUGCAGUCGUUCCCAGUAACACAUUGCUAAUGUUUUCAUUGCUUCAAAGUGCUUGUCUAGCACUUUUUGAAUCAUCACAGCUGUGGUUCCUGGUGCCAUCUCAGAUGAUCCUUUCUCCAUGUUAAUUACCCCUUUGCAUUCAGCUGAUUGUCAUAGUGCCUGAUCUUCUCUAGUUUGACCUUGUGUCUGUCAGCAUUAAAAGUAUCAUAUUUCUUAA